rnacentral:rRNA from 1 species
AGUGAACGCUGGCGGUAGGCCUAACACAUGCAAGUCGAACGGCAGCACAGGAGAGCUUGCUCUCUGGGUGGCGAGUGGCGGACGGGUGAGGAAUACAUCGGAAUCUACCUUUUCGUAGGGGAUAACGUAGGGAAACUUACGCUAAUACCGCAUACGACCUACGGGUGAAAGUGGGGGACCGCAAGGCCUCACGCGAUUAGAUGAGCCGAUGUCCGAUUAGCUAGUUGGCGGGGUAAUGGCCCACCAAGGCGACGAUCGGUAGCUGGUCUGAGAGGAUGAUCAGCCACACUGGAACUGAGACACGGUCCAGACUCCUACGGGAGGCAGCAGUGGGGAAUAUUGGACAAUGGGCGCAAGCCUGAUCCAGCCAUACCGCGUGGGUGAAGAAGGCCUUCGGAUUGUAAAGCCCUUUUGUUGGGAAAGAAAUCCUAUCGGUUAAUAACCGGUGGGGAUGACGGUACCCAAAGAAUAAGCACCGGCUAACUUCGUGCCAGCAGCCGCCGUAAUAC